UUAAUUAAAUAUAGAUUCAUCAAUGUUGAGUCUGUGAAUAUGUUAAUUUGGUGAACUUGGAAAUUUGUGUGUGGAGGGAUGACUAUAAUCCUGGAAAAUGUGAUUAGGCUUAUACUGAAGUUUUAUUUCAGGUAUCAUUUUCUGCCUGCCGAUAUGCCUUAUUAUGACAAUUGGAAACUCUGCACUAAUUUUGGGUCUCUGGUCUGUUCACUUUUUGUGGACAAAUUAUUGCAUUGUAAGAUCUAAGCAGUUUGGGCCAGUUUUGAAGUUUGUUCUGUGUUUAUUCAUUUCUGUUUUUUUGAUUUUGUGGCCAUCCAUUGGCAUUGUUGAAAGUAUUAUUGGUGGCGCUGCAUAUGGCUUUCUCGCAGCGAUGUUUGCCACUUUUAAAGCUGUCAAUGAAGGGAAGACUGAUAAAUUUUACCACUAUAUUUAUGUAUGUUUGAAAUGUCCCAACUAUUAAUGUUUUUAAAAUUCGAUGUUCUUUGAAUCUUUGUUGCCUUUGAUGCUGAUAAAUUCCCUAACUAUUAAUGCUGUAGGAUGGAACUUCUGACACUGUCAAACAGAGCUUUACUUUUGUGAGGGAUUUUAUGGAUAUAUGUUACCAUUCUUACUUCUCAGUUACGGAUGACCUACGGAGUCAGGGGCAUCAAGAUGGAAAAUAUUUUGAGAUUAGUCUUAUUCAAUUAGGCAAGAUGCCGGAAAAUGCUUGAAAAGAUGGGGAAAAGGAACGUUCCUCUAAUUCUUCUAUGCAGAAGGGAGGAAUUUAAGGAUGAGGAGAUGGUUGAUGUGAAGUCAUUACACAUCCGAAACUUUCUCUGAAGUUGAGUUUGUUGGUUACUAUUUUGCUUUGCAUUUAACAAUUGUUAGGAUACUCAUAUCCAGCAAUUGUUUGAAGAAAAGAGAUUAUAACUGUUCAGGUAUUUGUUAAAAUAAAAGGAAAUACUGGAUUAAUGUUUUGGUCAUUUGUAUGUGUCCAGUCUAUCUUAUCUUUAACUCCUUGAAUAUUGAUUGGUUGGCGAUCUCCAAUCACAGUGAGAUUUGAAAUUGCAGUUGAAGUGCUGCCUCUUUUGUUUUCAAUGGCCAACUUUUGUUUUAAGCUUCUGCUAUAUUACAGAAGGAUUUUU